CAUGCAGGCGGUCAGGCGCGUUUUGUGUGACAGCGGAUGGCUUAACUGUCCGAGGAUACGAAAGACGGCGUGACUUGAGAGCGCGAGAGGGACACGGAAUUCCGGGUGGAGUGGUGGAAUGCGUAGAGAUCCGGAGGAACACCGAAGGCGAAGGCAGUGUCCUGGCGCGUAUCUGACGCUGAGGUGCGAAAGCCAGGGGAGCGAACG
rnacentral:rRNA from 1 species